AUUGAACGCUGGCGGCAGGCUUAACACAUGCAAGUCGAGCGAGCGGCGGACGGGUGAGUAAUGUCUGGGAAACUGCCUGCUGGAUGGGGAUAACUACUGGAAACGGUAGCUAAUACCGCAUACCAUCAGAUGGGCCCAGAUGGGAUUGGCUAGUAGGUGGGGUAAUGGCUCACCUAGGCGAAGCUCCCUAGCUGGUCUGAGAGGAUGACCAGCCACACGGGAACUGAGACACGGUCCAGACUCCUCCGGGAGGCAGCAGUGGGUAAUAGUGCACAAUGGGCGCAAGCCUGAUGCAGCCAUGCCGCGUGUGUGAAGAAGGCCUUCGGGUUGUAAAGCACUUUCAGCGGGGAGGCGUUACGCGCAGAAUAAGCACCGGCUAACUCCGUGCCAGCCGCCGCGGUAAUAC
rnacentral:rRNA from 1 species